rnacentral:misc_RNA from 1 species
GAUGAAGAACGUAGCGAAAUGCGAUAAGUAAUGUGAAUUGAAGAAUUCAGUGAAUCAUCGAAUCUUUGAACGCACAUUGCGCCCCCUGGUAUUCCGGGGGGCAUGCCUGUCCGAGCGUCAUUACAACCCUCAAGCUCUGCUUGGUGUUGGGCCCCGCCGCCCCGGCGGGCCCUAAAGUCAGUGGCGGUGCCAUCCGGCUCCGAGCGUAGUAAUUCUUCUCGCUCUGGAGGUCCGGUUGUGUGCUUGCCAUCAACCCCCAAUUUUUUUCAGGUUGACCUCGGAUCAGGUAGGGAUACCCGCUGAACUUAAGCAUAUCAAUAAGCGGAGGA